CAUGCUCAUAGCUCCUUAGUGGCUUUUUUUUUUUUUUAAGUAUAAAACUGCACUGUGAUCUCAUUUGGAGUUAGAGGUUUAAUUCACUAGGAAAGUGCUUGGCUAGCAAGCUUAAGGCCCCUAGUUCAAUCUCCAGGACGAAAACAGAUGAGGAAACUAACAACAAUUGUGCAUGUUAUUCCCAGAAUCAGAUAUCCUCCUGUCUUCCUUCUCCUGUAGCCUCACGUGGCUGUUUUCAAUCUUUGAGUGCUUGACACAUCCUUAUCAUUUAUCUUACUAGUCCAUUCACCUCCAAUACAUCUGAUACUUCCUAAAAAUUUUUUCCUGUCUGUUUUCAAACCCUCCAAAGUAGACUAGUGGUCACACUCUCAAGCACAUGGCCAUCAGGAUCUGCGCGAUCACACACCAAGUACAAAGUGGGACAGUCUGUCAAGCUACCCUGUUGUCUUUGACAGACAGGCAGACCUGCCACACAGAAUCGUGUGUUCUACUGGUGGUGUCGAUUUCAGGUGGCAGGAUGCAGAUGCAAGAAAAAAAAUUAAACAUUUCUUAGAUCCAUUAGUCACAAUUUAUGUUUUUACAAGCCACAAUAGAGAAUGAUUUUCUUGUGGCUGGGGGGUACGGGAGGUGAUGCUGUGGACAGUUUGAUAUAGUUCUCAUGUUCUGUGAACCGGUAAGGUAUCUGUGGUUGGUAAUGCUGUAUUGAAUGUUUGUAAAAGCAAACGAGGAUGUCACCCAGAAGUGAUAUGAAUAAGUGAUAUGUACGUCAAGCACUCCCAUCUCUUUAUACACAGUCACUAACAGUGUGUGCACCCAUGGACCACAUAGCACCCCAACCUGUCCAAUGUCCUGCUUUUGUUUUUAAUUUUUACUUUAUUUUGUAUGUAUGGCUGUUUUGCCUAUAUGUAUAUCUGUGCAAAAGACAGUAUAAGAGCUCCUGGAACUUUUGGGUUUUUGGUUUUUCGAUAUGGGCUUACUCUGUAUAGCCCUGGUUGUUCUGGAACUAGCUCUGUAGACCAGGCUGGCCUCAAACUCAAAGAGAUCUGCCUGCCUCUGCCUCCUAAUUGGUGUAAUUAAAGGUGUAUCUCAUCC
rnacentral:lncRNA from 1 species